rnacentral:snoRNA from 1 species
UUGGCCCAGAUCAAAGCUGAAGCUGUUGGUUUUAAGCAAAAGCCUGCAGAAACGUCUCUCCGUGGCCGGUUGCCCAUUUCAGAACUUUGGAAACCAAUGGUCAAUUCUUUAGAAAGAAACAUCG